rnacentral:pre_miRNA from 1 species
AGGCUUUUUAAUCCUUGCCGAGUUUUCGUCAAACACAAAAAUACUAGGGCUGAUGAAGCUUUCAAUAUGAAGGAACCU